rnacentral:rRNA from 1 species
GGCCUUGUACACACCGCCCGUCACACCAUGAGAGUUGGCAACACCCGAAGUCAGUAGUCUAACCGCAAGGAGGACGCUGCCGAAGGUGGGGUUGAUGAUUGGGGUGAAGUCGUAACAAGGUAGCCGUAUCGGAAGGUGCGGCUGGAUCACCUCCUUUCUAAGGAGA